rnacentral:rRNA from 1 species
UACGGGAGGCAGCAGUGAGGAAUAUUGGUCAAUGGGCGCGAGCCUGAACCAGCCAAGUAGCGUGCAGGACGACGGCCCUAUGGGUUGUAAACUGCUUUUAUGCGGGGAUAAAGUGCGGCACGUGUGCCGUUUUGUAGGUACCGCAUGAAUAAGGACCGGCUAAUUCCGUGCCAGCAGCCGCGGUAAU